rfam:Firmicutes bacterium CAG:176_59_8 Ley3_66761_scaffold_5791, whole genome shotgun sequence.
CGAGGGCGCUGGACAGUCGCGGGGACAAGGCGAAAGCCUGUUCAUGAGGAAAGUCCGGGCUCCAUAGGGCGAGGAUAGCGGGUAACGCCCGCCGAAGGCGACUUCAGGAAAAGUGCAACAGAGAUAUACCGCCGCGGUCUCGCGGUAAGGGUGGAAAGGCGAGGUAAGAGCUCACCCGACGGCGUGUGAAAGCGACCGUCGCUGUAAACUCUAUCCGGAGCAACACCGGUAUGGGAGCAUACAGGCCGGCCCGGCCGCUCCCGAGGUGGCUGGAGCGCACCGGCGACGGUGCGCGUAGAUAGAUGACUGUCGAAACAGAACCCGGCUUACAGGCGCGCUCGCACG